UACGAAGGGGGCAAGCGUUGUUCGGAAUUACUGGGCGUAAAGGGCGCGUAGGCGGUGCACUAAGUCAGGCGUGAAAGCCCUGGGCUCAACCCGGGAAUUGCGCUUGAUACUGGUGCGCUUGAAUCCAGGAGAGGUUGGUGGAAUUCCCAGUGUAGAGGUGAAAUUCGUAGAGAUUGGGAAGAACACCAGUGGCGAAGGCGACUCACUGGACACGUAUUGACGCUGAGGUGCGAAAGCGUGGGGAGCAAACAGG
rnacentral:rRNA from 1 species